rnacentral:rRNA from 1 species
CAGUAGCCGCGGUAAUACAGAGGGUGCGAGCGUUAAUCGGAUUUACUGGGCGUAAAGCGUGCGUAUGCGGCUUUUUAAGUCGGAUGUGAAAUCCCUGAGCUUAACUUAGGAAUUGCAUUCGAUACUGGGAAGCUAGAGUAUGGGAGAGGAUGGUAGAAUUCCAGGUGUAGCGGUGAAAUGCGUAGAGAUCUGGAGGAAUACCGAUGGCGAAGGCAGCCAUCUGGCCUAAUACUGACGCUGAGGUACGAAAGCAUGGGGAGCAAACAGGAUUAGAUACCCGCGUAGUCCCUGUCUCUUAUAC